AGAGAAAAGCUAUCGUCUCACUGGACGCGCAUCUGCAAAGGUUAUACUUCGAUGAGGAGGGUGAGUGCAGUUCCGUUCGUUGAUGUAGUUCAAAAUGACUCAAUUUUGUGUCUGUCAACCUGUGGCGUGUAAACGUUGAGGUACAGACAAUCCUCGCUGCCUGAUAUGCUGCCUAACGCCUGGGGACAUACGCUUCCAUCUCUAGUG